rnacentral:rRNA from 1 species
GAUGAACGCUGGCGGCGUGCCUAAUACAUGCAAGUCGAGCGAACGGACGAGAAGCUUGCUUCUCUGAUGUUAGCGGCGGACGGGUGAGUAACACGUGGAUAACCUACCUAUAAGACUGGGAUAACUUCGGGAAACCGUAGCUAAUACCGGAUAAUAUUUUGAACCGCAUGGUUCAAAAGUGAAAGACGGUCUUGCUGUCACUUAUAGAUGGAUCCGCGCUGCAUUAGCUAGUUGGUAAGGUAACGGCUUACCAAGGCAACGAUGCAUAGCCGACCUGAGAGGGUGAUCGGCCACACUGGAACUGAGACACGGUCCAGACUCCUACGGGAGGCAGCAGUAGGGAAUCUUCCGCAAUGGGCGAAAGCCUGACGGAGCAACGCCGCGUGAGUGAUGAAGGUCUUCGGAUCGUAAAACUCUGUUAUUAGGGAAGAACAUAUGUGUAAGUAACUGUGCACAUCUUGACGGUACCUAAUCAGAAAGCAACAGCUAACUACGUG